rnacentral:rRNA from 1 species
GUGGGCACUCUAAGGAGACUGCCGGUGACAAACCGGAGGAAGGUGGGGAUGACGUCAAGUCAUCAUGGCCCUUACGGCCUGGGCUACACACGUGCUACAAUGGUCGGUACAAAGGGUUGCCAAGCCGCGAGGUGGAGCUAAUCCCAUAAAACCGAUCGUAGUCCGGAUCGCAGUCUGCAACUCGACUGCGUGAAGUCGGAAUCGCUAGUAAUCGUGAAUCAGAAUGUCACGGUGAAUACGUUCCCGGGCCUU